rnacentral:sRNA from 1 species
UCACUGGUCACCGCGUUAGAGUUUGACGGUAUAAAUCCAGCACCGGACACGACAAAGAGG